rnacentral:rRNA from 1 species
CCUACGGGUGGCUGCAGUAGGGAAUCUUCCGCAAUGGGCGAAAGCCUGACGGAGCAACGCCGCGUGAGUGAAGAAGGAUUUCGGUUCGUAAAGCUCUGUUGUUAGGGAAGAAUGAUUGUAUAGUAACUAUAUACAGUAGAGACGGUACCUAACCAGAAAGCCACGGCUAACUACGUGCCAGCAGCCGCGGUAAUACGUAGGUGGCAAGCGUUGUCCGGAAUUAUUGGGCGUAAAGCGCGCGCAGGUGGUUUAAUAAGUCUGAUGUGAAAGCCCACGGCUCAACCGGGGAGGGUCAUUGGAAACUGUUAAACUUGAGUGCAGGAGAGAAAAGUGGAAUUCCUAGUGUAGCGGUGAAAGGCGUAGAGAUUAGGAGGAACACCAGUGGCGAAGGCGGCUUUUUGGCCUGUAACUGACACUGAGGCGUGAAAGCGUGGGGAGCAAACAGGAUUAGAUACCCCUGUAGUC